AGGCGAGCGGCGGCCGGCGGCCAGCAAAGGCCAUGAUGGAUCCUGCCGAGCCAAUUUGCACCGCCGCCGUCGCCGUAGGAAUCUGACCGUCGACGACACCUUGCUGGUCUGGAGUUCGUUCUAGGUGGUUUCUUUCUUAACUCCAUUUUCCACAACAAACUGCAAGUGGAACAUUCUGGAUUUCUCUCCUAAAAAUUCAUUUGUUGGAGAGCUCCCACCUCCGUGGGAUCCUAUAUCAACACCCACAUUCAGUAUGAGCUGACGGUACAUGGAUGUUUUUUGAAGAUCACAUGAACAAAAUGAACAGAGUUUCCAAGAGUUUCCAAAAUGAACAGAGUCUCCUAAUUUAUGCCGAACCGUUGCGCAUUACGUGACUGAAAAUUUGUGUUUUAAUUCCUGAUGCAUGUUGGAUGUUUACUAUACAGACUUGGGUUAAAUUGUUGCCAUAAAAAUUGAAUCUUUUGUAACUUACGCUGAAAUA